rnacentral:lncRNA from 1 species
AACACGCCGCCUAACUCACUGCUAGGAAGACUUUCGACACAACCUCUUGUUCAACUUAUUGAAACUGCCCUUGGCUUCCUUUUCAGAAUUGACCAUCUGAACCCUUUGUCGAUUUUCCAGACUUGACCAUCUGAACUUCUUGCUUCUGCGAGGUGAUAACCGACAAACCAUCUCGCGCUUCCCCUGUCUCAACUCAGUUGGUGACAUUGAGUGUCACCAGGCACCUCUCAAAGCUGUUGCCUGGUAAACUCUUUGUCAACAU